UGAGGAAUAUUGGACAAUGGGCGAAAGCCUGAUCCAGCUAUGCCGCGUGAGUGAAAAAGGCCUUCGGGUUGUAAAGCUCUUUUAGUGGGGAAGAUGAUGACGUUACCCACAGAAAAAGUCCCGGCUAACUCUGUGCCAGCAGCCGCGGUAAUACAGAGGGGACAAGCGUUAUUCGGAUUUAUUGGGCGUAAAGGGUGCGUAGGCGGUUGUGUAAGUUAAAAGUGAAAUCCUGCGGCUUAACCGCAGAACUGCUUUUAAUACUGCACGGCUAGAGUUAAAGAGAGGAUAGUGGAAUUCCUAGUGUAGAGGUGAAAUUCGUAGAUAUUAGGAGGAACACCGGUGGCGAAGGCGGCUAUCUGGCUUUAUACUAACGCUGAGGCACGAAAGUGUGGGGAGCAAACAGGAUUAGAUACCCGGGUAGUCC
rnacentral:rRNA from 1 species